UAAGGUCUUCUUCAGAGUGCAUCACUACGGCUUGCUGUUUGCUGGGGAAGGAUACUUUCGGUGGUAUAUUUUUCUUUACUGCUGCUGUGUACGAAGUGGAAGGCUGUGAGGUGUUUGUCAUUAUGGUGGUAUCUUCGGUUGGUGAACUCAUAUUUUUUUAUUUAGGGUGCCCUCGUAGUCAAAAGCAACCCUAGA
rnacentral:lncRNA from 1 species